ACACAGUGUAAAUUCUGCUAUUCCAGCAGACUUAAAUCUUCGGAGCCCGUUUUCACACCCGGUUUGCGCUGAAAACACUUCCGAAACUCACUUCUAACCAUCUCAACGCCUUCAAGACAACUCGGGGACUCCGCUUAUCACCCUCAUACUACACUUUGAUCAAUUUGGUCAAAGUUAGCAUUACGAUACGGGAUUUGGAAUAUUACAGGUGGUUUUGGCCAACGAGUUAUUAUUGCUAGCGAAUUGGAUCGUUACAUCUGGUAUCAGAGUCAAUCACUAGCCAGAAGUGUAAGAUGAGU
rnacentral:lncRNA from 1 species